AACGAACGCUGGCGGCGUGCCUAACACAUGCAAGUCGCGCGAGAAAAGGGAGCAAUCCCCUAGUAAAGCGGCGAACGGGUGAGUAACACGUAGGUAACCUUCCUUCGAGACCGGGACAACCUGUCGAAAGACGGGCUAAUACUGGAUAAGACCACGACUCUUUCGGGAGCAGUGGUAAAAGAUGGCCACUUCAUGAAAGCUAUCACUCAAAGAUGGGCCUGCGUACCAUUAGCUAGUUGGUAGGGUAACGGCCUACCAAGGCUACGAUGGUUAGCUGAUCUGAGAGGAUGAUCAGCCACACUGGAACUGAAACACGGUCCAGACUCCUACGGGAGGCAGCAGUGGGGAAUAUUGCGCAAUGGGGGGAAACCCUGACGCAGCAACGCCGCGUGAGUGACGAAGGCCUUCGGGUCGUAAAGCUCUGUCGGAGGGGAAGAAACUAUUUAUGGCUAAUAUCCAUAGAUAUUGACGGUACCCUCAAAGGAAGCACCGGCUAACCACGUGCCAGCCGCCGCGGUAA
rnacentral:rRNA from 1 species